GAGCGGCAAAAGCUCAAUUUGAAUCUGGCACCUCCGGUGCUCCGAGUUGUAAUUUGGAGAGGAUGCUUCUGGGGCCGCCCCUUGCCUAUGGUCCUGGAAACAGGACUUCAUAGAGGGGAAAAUUCCCGUGGGGAUAGGAUGGCCGUUCUCUGGUGAGUGCCCUUCAACAAUCCAGUUGUUUGGGAAUU
rnacentral:rRNA from 1 species